rnacentral:rRNA from 1 species
AACGAACGCUGGCGGCAUGCCUAAUACAUGCAAGUCGAACGAGAUCUUCGGAUCUAGUGGCGCACGGGUGCGUAACGCGUGGGAAUCUGCCCUUGGGUUCGGAAUAACAUCUGGAAACGGAUGCUAAUACCGGAUGAUGACGUAAGUCCAAAGAUUUAUCGCCCAAGGAUGAGCCCGCGUAGGAUUAGCUAGUUGGUGAGGUAAAGGCUCACCAAGGCUACGAUCCUUAGCUGGUCUGAGAGGAUGAUCAGCCACACUGGGACUGAGACACGGCCCAGACUCCUACGGGAGGCAGCAGUAGGGAAUAUUGGACAAUGGGGGCAACCCUGAUCCAGCAAUGCCGCGUGUGUGAUGAAGGCCUUAGGGUUGUAAAGCUCUUUUACCCGAGAUGAUAAUGACAGUAUCGGGAGAAUAAGCUCCGGCUAACCCCGUGCCAGCAGCCGCGGUAAUACGGAGGGAGCUAGCGUUGUUCGGAAUUACUGGGCGUAAAGCGCACGUAGGCGGUUAUUUAAGUCAGAGGUGAAAGCCCGGGGCUCAACCCCGGAACUGCCUUUGAGACUGGAUAACUUGAAUCCAGGAGAGGUGAGUGGAAUUCCGAGUGUAGAGGUGGAAUUCGUAGAUAUUCGGAAGAACACCAGUGGCGAAGGCGGCUCACUGGACUGGUAUUGACGCUGAGGUGCGAAAGCGUGGGGAGCAAACAGG